ensembl:snRNA U6 U6 spliceosomal RNA
CUGCUCACUUUGGCAGCACAGGACACUAAAGCUGGAAUGAUACAGAGAAGAUUAGCAUGGCCCCUGAACAAGGAUGACAUGCAAAUUCACGAAGAAUUCCAUAGGUAA